GUAAAGUUGCUUAUUGUAAUUGUUUUGCAGUACUAUUUGGGGGCAUAAGUCUGUCAUCAAGCUUUCUGUCAUGUAUGGGUGGACCAGGACCCUGUGGUGACCGUCACACUGGUCCAGAAAGUCUCCAUGGGAUGCCGUGUCCUGUUGGACAGCAGAGAGAUGAUCACUGGCUGCAGGGCAGAAUGGUACAUCAACACGGCCACACAUGGCCAGAGGAAGGUGUGGAGGGAGAUGGGUGACUUGCCCCGAUUCAAGGGGAGGUUUCAGAAAACCUACAACCUGAACACAACAGAUACAAGCAUCCUGAUGACCUGGUUAGAGCUGAAUGACAUGGGCUAUUAGUUCUGCACUCUGCAGUGCUGCGUCAAUGGGAAGGACAAGCAGUACCAUGGCAAUGGGACAAGACUCCUCCUCAGCGAGGCUAAGCCUACACCUUAUGGGUUAAUAUUUACCUCCGUUAUCCCAGGUGCAGAAGAGGAGAAUACUUCAGAGAUGCAACUCUUCUUUUUAUACUUUUCUGUUAGUGAAGCUGUUGGUCAUCAUAGUGCUUAGAGGCCUCACAAUCAGUUCUUAAAGAUGUCAU
rnacentral:lncRNA from 1 species